rnacentral:lncRNA from 1 species
UUAAAUUCAUCACUUUCCAAGACUUUUAUAUUUUCAAGAUAUUCAGUAUUAUCAAUUUUUUUUAACUUUAGCAGCAUUUUCACUACUUAAAGCAUUUUCAACAAUAUGAGCAAAUUCAUCAUCAUCGUCAUCAUUAUCAGGUUCAGUUUGAACACUGGAUUCGUCAGAAGAAAUUUCAAGUUCACUCAAUGAUCUACUAUAUUCUACUCUAAGCAUUAAAAAAAAAUAUUAGAAUAUAUAUGUAAAUAUAUUUAAGUACAUAUAAAUGUUGUUUUUUGAAAAAAAUUGUUAUGCAUGGAGAAAAAAUAAAUACUAAGCAGUAUAAAUAUUUUUACCUUGA